rnacentral:lncRNA from 1 species
UGGUCGGUGCAGUCUGCGGUCUUAUUGAUCAUUAACGGAUACUGUGUACUGGAUCGAGUGGGAUUGACGGGCAGACAAGCGGUUGAUGAACUGAAUGGUGGGUUUGGUGCGUCUAUGGGUGGUUCUGAACGUGUAUUGGAGUGCGAGUGUGCUCUAGAUGCAAUGGCUUACACUAACGGUAUGUUCCGAUGAUCUAUGGGAAGUAUCAGAUGCAUAUAUCUGGUCGUGGAUACUGAGCGUGGGACGGUCAGAGCUUAGGAGGGAUGCGGAACUGAUGAGAACAGUUUGAGUGGUUUGAGGGAGACGAUCAGGUCUGGUGAUGUACGGAAUAUGAUUGACUGAUAAGCAGGAUGGCCGUGAGGAGAACUGACUGGAUCGAGGGCUGUGGAGCCGACUGUGUACUGACUGAUUCGGGUGUGAUCAGGGACUGGUUUUGGGGCGCUAAGCAUGGUUAGCGUACUGUCUGUUCUAGAUGGCUGGUUGGAGACCAAGCCGUCUCUCUUUGUUUACUUGGGUCACGUGGGGAUGGUUGGUUGAGUGACAAAGGAACAAGGGGAUUUGGUUAAGUAUUCUGAUCAAACAGGCUGGAUAGGCAUGGAUGGGAAAGAAUGGAGCAGCAAGGCAGGAACUUAUGGACGAAUUAGCAGGUACCAAGCACCUAGGCAGUAAGAUACACGUUUAUUAUACUGUCUGUUGUAGUGAUUUGCUAGGAUGCUGGACAGACUUAGCGAACACUUGGAUCUGAACUGAACCUCUUAGAGGAAAGCUGGUUAGAAACCGUAAGUAAAAGGAAUAUUUCGUAAAGGGGCAGUUUGGGUCGGGGCAAGCGAACUAAGGAUGAACUGGCGGUAAGGGAAACCGGGUCAGGGCCUUUCAGAAGGCCUCUGGCGGUCGUGUCAAGCGGUCGAUCGACGGUUGCCUUCUAGUGUGCAACGUAGGGUUUACGCGAUCGAUUGAUCGAUCGGCAUAAAAGACUUGACUGGUUUUGGUUUUGUCGUAGCUGAGCUGGGCCUGGGGC